AGUUUGAUCCUGGCUCAGGAUAAGUCGUAACAAGGUAACCAAUCCCGCGGCCAUGGCGGCCGCACUAGUGAUUAGAGUUUGAUCCUGGCUCAGACUCUAAGUCGUAACAAGGUAACCAAUCCCGCGGCCAUGGCGGCCGCACUAGUGAUUAGAGUUUGAUCCUGGCUCAGGAUAAGUCGUAACAAGGUAACCAAUCCUGCGGCCAUGGCGGCCGCACUAGUGAUUAGAGUUUGAUCCUGGCUCAGACUCAAGUCGUAACAAGGUAACCUCCUGGCUCAGAUUGAACGCUGGCGGCAGGCUUAACACAUGCAAGUCGAGCGGAAACGAUUCUAGCUUGCUAGAAGGCGUCGAGCGGCGGACGGGUGAGUAAUGCAUGGGAAUCUGCCCGAUAGUGGGGGACAACCUGGGGAAACUCAGGCUUAAUACCGCAUACGUCCUACGGGAGAAAGCAGGGGAUCUUCGGACCUUGCGCUAUCGGAUGAGCCCAUGUCGGAUUAGCUUGUUGGUGAGGUAAUGGCUCACCAAGGCGACGAUCCGUAGCUGGUCUGAGAGGAUGAUCAGCCACACUGGGACUGAGACACGGCCCAGACUCCUACGGGAGGCAGCAGUGGGGAAUAUUGGACAAUGGGCGAAAGCCUGAUCCAGCCAUGCCGCGUGUGUGAAGAAGGCCUUCGGGUUGUAAAGCACUUUCAGCGAGGAAGAACGCCUUGGGAUUAAUACUCCCGAGGAAAGACAUCACUCGCAGAAGAAGCACCGGCUAACUCCGUGCCAGCAGCCGCGGUAAUACGGAGGGUGCAAGCGUUAAUCGGAAUUACUGGGCGUAAAGCGCGCGUAGGUGGCUAAGUCAGCCAGGUGUGAAAGCCCCGGGCUCAACCUGGGAACGGCAUCUGGAACUGCUUGGCUAGAGUGCAGGAGAGGAAGGUAGAAUUCCCGGUGUAGCGGUGAAAUGCGUAGAGAUCGGGAGGAAUACCAGUGGCGAAGGCGGCCUUCUGGACUGACACUGACACUGAGGUGCGAAAGCGUGGGUAGCAAACAGGAUUAGAUACCCUGGUAGUCCACGCCGUAAACGAUGUCAACUAGCCGUUGGGUCCCUUGAGGACUUAGUGGCGCAGCUAACGCAAUAAGUUGACCGCCUGGGGAGUACGGCCGCAAGGUUAAAACUCAAAUGAAUUGACGGGGGCCCGCACAAGCGGUGGAGCAUGUGGUUUAAUUCGAUGCAACGCGAAGAACCUUACCUACCCUUGACAUCCAGAGGACUUUCCAGAGAUGGAUUGGUGCCUUCGGGAACUCUGAGACAGGUGCUGCAUGGCUGUCGUCAGCUCGUGUUGUGAAAUGUUGGGUUAAGUCCCGUAACGAGCGCAACCCCUAUCCUUAUUUGCCAGCGAGUAAUGUCGGGAACUCUAAGGAGACUGCCGGUGACAAACCGGAGGAAGGUGGGGACGACGUCAAGUCAUCAUGGCCCUUACGGGUAGGGCUACACACGUGCUACAAUGGCAAGUACAAAGGGUUGCAAUACUGCGAAGUGGAGCCAAUCCCAUAAAGCUUGCCUCAGUCCGGAUUGGAGUCUGCAACUCGACUCCAUGAAGUCGGAAUCGCUAGUAAUCGUGGAUCAGAAUGCCACGGUGAAUACGUUCCCGGGCCUUGUACACACCGCCCGUCACACCAUGGGAGUGGACUGCACCAGAAGUGGUUAGCCUAACCUUCGGGAGGGCGAUCACCACGGUGUGGUUCAUGACUGGGGUGAAGUCGUAACAAGGUAACC
rnacentral:rRNA from 1 species